rnacentral:rRNA from 1 species
UACGUAGGUGGCGAGCGUUGUCCGGAUUUACUGGGCGUAAAGGGCUUGUAGGCGGUCCGUUAAGUCCGAUGUGAAAUCUCCCGGCUCAACUGGGAGAGGUCAUUGGAUACUGGCGGACUAGAGGGGGGUAGAGGAAAGCAGAAUUCCUGGUGUAGCGGUGAAAUGCGUAGAUAUCAGGAGGAAUACCAGUGGCGAAGGCGGCUUUCUGGGCCUACCCUGACGCUGAGGCGCGAAAGCUAGGGGAGCAAACGGG